ensembl:lncRNA
UGGGGACGUGUGUGUGGGGGGGGGGGGGGGGGGAAUCCUCAAAACAAAAGUAUUUUCUUCAAAUAUAAUUAUUUACAAUUUCAAACACAAAUUCUAUUAACUUCUGGACAGAGCGCUUGGACCAGGCGGGGCGGACCGGAACCUCUAAUGGUUCCACCGGAGGUCCAGAGUGGGACCAGGGGAGGCCAGAGUGGGACCAGGGGAGGCCAGAGUGGUACGAGUCCCGCUGUGUCUGGUGGGGGCCCUGGUGGGGGCCCCUGGUGGGGGCCCUGGUCGGGGGCAGGCAGGGUGAGGGGCUGGCUGGUGGGGGCCCCUGGCUUCCCCCUUGGCCCAGGGGCGCGAGGCAGGUGUGGCUCCUGCUGUCAGAGAGCAGGCUGCCCCCCCCGCCCCCCGGACCUGGCGUGACUUGGCUCUGUCCCUCACCCCUACCUCCCCCCCUAUCUCCCCCCUACCUCCCUCACUCCCCUCUUACAUCCCAUAUUUAUCUCCGUCUGUCUCUCAAACUUUGUCCUCCUCUGCCUCUCUCUCUCUCUGUGUCUCUGCCAGCCAGAUGGUGGCAUGGUAACGGUGCUCCUCCAUCCCAUAAUGAUCUGUGCCAUCCAGAUGGAGGCAGCAGCCUCAGCGCUCUGCUGCUGCACCGCGGGGCCCGGAGCUCAGCGCCCCCUGGUGGCCCCCCGGCUCCCUGCAGCAGGGCCAUGGCGUCAGUCAAACCCCAGAACCUCUGCCCCCAUCAGAACCAGAGGAGGGCUGCCCCCCCCCCCCCCCAGACGCCCAGCCGGGGGGGCCUCCAGGCUGUCACUAUGGUAGAGGGGCCCGUUGACAGGAGGUGAAGGCCGGUCCCCACCUGAUGUGGCGCCUCCUGGAGGAGCAGAGGGGAGGCUACAGGCACCACGGCUCUGGCGGGAUGUCCUCCAACUAGUCCACCUCCUCCCUCUUCCAACUCUUCCUCCUCCUCCGGAUGUCAUCCACUGAGACAUCAUGAUGUCAUCCACUGAGACAUCAUGUCAUCCACUGAGACAUCAUGACGGCAUCCACCGAGACAUCAUGACGUCAUCCACCGAGGUUAAAUGUGAAAUGGAGGUGAAUUCCCUGAAAGGCUGUAAAUGUAGUUGUGAUGUGCUGUGGUUCUUGUUUGUUCUAAUAGCCCCGGAGGAGUGGAGGAGGAGGAGGAGCACGGGGGUGAGAGAGGACACGAGGAGCAGCCAGGAGGAGGUGUGGAGCCACAGCUGGUCUAGUGCUCCUCCAGGCUGGAUCUCCUGCCAACCCGCUCCAGCGUCUCUCCUCCUCCUCCUCCUCCUGCUUACAGAAUAAUACAACCUGCCUCUGAGUGCUCUCUGACAACAUGGAGGCUGGUGAGCUAGAUUGUAAAACAGUAAUAUGUUUAAAGUGAUUAUUCUAUAUAUUCUGACACUAGUUUAUCUAUAAUUCCCGGAAAAAUUGAUAAGAGGAGAACACGCUGUCCUUACAGAGAGCUCCGGCAGCUGGUGUGUGUGUGUGUGUGUGUGUGUGUGUGUGUGUGUGUGUGUGUGUGUGUGUGUGUGUGUGUGUGUGUGUGACCAGAUGGGUGUAGAAGUCAGUCCUUACGGUCCCAAGUUUGUCGUGACGGAUGUCCGAUCGACCGCUGUGCCGUUGCAUGCUGGGAGCUGAUAUAAAAGAGGUCUUCCUCACCUCUGGACGACUAAGUUCAGUGACUAUCGCACCUCUGUUUAUACGCCGGGAGAACCUGCUGAUGCCCGUAGGGUCGAGUCCCCCUGGGUUCAACCCUACGGCCAUGACCCCACUCAGGAGGAUAGUUUGGUCUGUAGGUUCUAAUUUCUCCCUGCUGACGUCGUCCUUCUAGUCUUUACGAUCUGCGUCUUUCAUCGCUCUGCGUCUUCAUCGCUUGUCGUCUUCAUCGCUCCGUCGCCACCGCCCGGAGGUUUGAGAUGAACCACGAGUGCCGUCGACCCUUCCUCUCCUACACGCUUAAACACGGCCAUCACGCCUUCCCAGAAUGCACCCUGAGGAGGACUUUACCAUUACCUUGAGAUCAAGAAGAGGGGCAGACCAGUAUAUUCAAACCCUGAAUAUACGACCCGUAAGUAUACGGCCAUGUUGAACACGACUGAAUACGACCUGAGAUGGACACUAGGUUAGCUCCUUGACUUACCCAGAGCUGACCAUCUCUUCCACAACUCAACCGCCUCAAACAGAAUACCGAAACAGAACUAUAUUCAACUUAAUACCAAAACGUAACCAUCUCUAACUCGGCCCCUAAAACGAAACGUUGGCCUCAAUUAUUCUGUUUUGACGCCGGCAAAUUAAAUUCAAGCGAACGUUAUUAAAUAAUAAGAGGCUAUCUUGAGAAUAUCUCUCAUCGUCGUCCAACUGUUGAGAAUAAAAAUGUGUUAAGACCUUUCAUUCCCGAUGUUUAUUUCGGACCCCAGCAGAGCUGGGACAGAGUGGACGUAGAGAGAUCAGAGCCGGAGGAGAUCCUCCUCCGAGCGUUCCACGGGGGCCUGAGAGGGGCCGGUUUGGAUCCUGAGGUGGAAUGUAACCUUCACCCUAACCCACGACCCCUCCUACGACAGAACACUGGGUUCUUCCACAGCGGAACACAGGAAGUUCCUCACACUAUCUACUUCCUGUUGGCGUGGCACCCGGUGACGAGAGCCAGGAGCAAAUGGAGGAGGAGGAGGAUGUACUGGGUCCCCCAUCAGAAGAGCAAGAGCUGUUCGGUACAACCACAGUGCAAACCAGUAUUAAGAGACUGCUUGAAUUGGGCAGCUCCAAGUUUCCACCAGUACUCCCUGGUUGUACUGGGAAACUCCCAAUACAACCGGUAGAAUGUGGCUGUACUAUGUAGCUCCCAGUUUCUAUUACUAGAAGACUGGGGUGUACUGGGAAGCUUCCAGUAGAAACAUUAGAAGACUGUGGUUGCGCUGGGCAGCUCCCAGUCUCCACCAUUAUAUGGCUGUUAGCAGGCGGGCUGCUAGCGGGUUGCUAGCGGGCUGCUGGCGGGUUGCUGGCGGGUUGCUGGCGGGUUGCUGGCGGGCUGCUGGCGGGCUGCUGGCGGGCUGCUGGCGGGUUGCUAGCGGGUUGCUGGCGGCUGCAGAGAUAAGACCCCGGAAGACCGCACCCAUGAGGGUCUCCUGAGAUUGGGACAACAAUACCUCCUUCCUCUUCCUCCCUCUGACAGCCCCCCCCCCUCUCUCCAGGACCCGAACCCAUUGAACCUGAGGCUAAGGAGGUCAGAGGUCAUCGCGUCAGGGUCAGUACCUGGCUUCACCGCAUCGCUGUGUGUGUGUGUGUGUGUGUGUGUGUGUGUGUGUGUGUGUGUGUGUGUGUGUGUGUGUGUGUGUGUGUGUGUGUGUGUGUGUGUGUGUGUGUUCCAAGGCGAUGUUGGGUGCCUCUGGAAGCGGACAGACAUGUAACCAGUGGUGCUGCUGACGGACAGCCGUGUGACCCCACUAACGACCGGUGCUUAUGAAUAUUAACGAGCUUCAUUAGGGGUGUUUUGUGUACGUUUGAGGAGGCGUCCCAGAUGAAGGUUAAUUUAUGCGCAGACCCGAUCCGCUGUUUCCUCUCCGUCUGCCCGGCGCCGCUGACCUCUGACCUCUGGAGGGAUGGGGGGGGGGUGGUGCCUCUCGAUGUAAACGUAGAACAUAGGUAGAAGGAGGAGCUGCUCUCUGAUUGGUCCUUCGAACCCGUUUCAGUAGAACCUCGGUCAGGUUUAAUAUUUCAAGGCCAUAAGUGUUCGCAUCAAAGUUAAAAGUGAAGCGAAUGUGGUCGAACUUUCUUUCUUUCUCUGCGAGGUUCUGCGACAAACUUAUUUAGAAAUAAUUGUUUAGAAAAAUAUUCUAGAAUGUUGUGUGUAGGCUGUCUGUCUGUUAGUCUGUCUGAUAGUCUGUCCCUGUCUCUAAAGUCAAAGUCAAAGUGUGUUUAUUGUUGCAUGUACCAAAUUGCUUCAGCACAGCAAAAUUCUUAUGACUUGGCAAGCAUCAUUCAUCUACGCAGUAGACGUCAGUCUGUGUUUGUUUGUCUGUCUGUGUCUCUGUCUCUGAGUGUCUGAAUGUUAGGAAUGUGUCAAGGAGAAUAAAUGAGUAGUUAUACCAUUUUUAAUCUCCUCGUAGGAGGAGGAGGGGGAGGAGGAGGGGGAGGAGAUGUGAUCUUGUGGUGGAAGAUAAUGAGUAAAUGACAGGUUUGGUUUUAAAGUUUUCAAAACAGUAAUCACUCCAGCUGUCUGGUCUAGGUGUGUGUGUGUGUGUGUGUGUGUGUGUGCGCGCGCACAUUUCCUUGGCCAUGCCAAUCUACAUUAUGGAACAAACGGACACAUUUCAUGUAAGUUAGUAACUGAUGGUGACAUUGAAACAAAGUAAGGUAGAAGAUAUAAAUGGAACGAAAAGAGUAAACGUUGAAGUGAACUCCAACUCAUCUCCAGAGGACCCGUAAUGGUUCUGUACCCGCCACCGCUAGGGCUCCGAUCACAGCUGCUUGAACAACACGAGGAGGGCGGGGCUACAGCUGGGGAGCAACUCGCUCGGCCAAUAGGCGCGUCACUCCAGACAGCUGUCCUGUAUAUAAGCACCUGUCCGUCAGACCGGCCCGCCUCGAGCCCGGAGAGGAGACGGGGUAGUAAUCAUAUAACGGCAGAAUAGAUCAAACUUUUGCAAUAUUAACUUUAUUCGAUCACAACCUUAUUUUAUCCAGGGCUUCGUUUUAUUUUAUCACAUUUUGUUCGCUAUCUUAUUUGAUUAAAACCUUGUUUGAUCGUAGCUUUA